UUCUAGGUUCAGGUAACCAGGAACCGUACCCCAAACCGACACAGGUGGUCGGGUAGAGAAUACCAAGGCGCUUGAGAGAACUCGGGUGAAGGAACUAGGCAAAAUGGCACCGUAACUUCGGGAGAAGGUGCGCCGGCUAGGGUGAAGGAUUUACUCCGUAAGCUCUGGCUGGUCGAAGAUACCAGGCCGCUGCGACUGUUUAUUAAAAACACAGCACUCUGCAAACACGAAAGUGGACGUAUAGGGUGUGACGCCUGCCCGGUGCCGGAAGGUUAAUUGAUGGGUUUAGCGCAAGCGAAGCUCUUGAUCGAAGCCCCGGUAAACGGCGGCCGUAACUAUAACGGUCCUAAGGUAGCGAAAUUCCUUGUCGGGUAAGUUCCGACCUGCACGAAUGGCGUAACGAUGGCGGCGCUGUCUCCACCCGAGACUCAGUGAAAUUGAAAUCGCUGUGAAGAUGCAGUGUAUCCGCGGCUAGACGGAAAGACCCCGUGAACCUUUACUGUAGCUUUGCACUGGACUUUGAGCCUGCUUGUGUAGGAUAGGUGGGAGGCUUUGAAGCGUGGACGCCAGUUCGCGUGGAGCCAUCCUUGAAAUACCACCCUGGCAUGCUUGAGGUUCUAACUCUGGUCCGUAAUCCGGAUCGAGGACAGUGUAUGGUGGGCAGUUUGACUGGGGCGGUCUCCUCCUAAAGAGUAACGGAGGAGUACGAAGGUGCGCUCAGACCGGUCGGAAAUCGGUCGCAGAGUAUAAAGGCAAAAGCGCGCUUGACUGCGAGACAGACACGUCGAGCAGGUACGAAAGUAGGUCUUAGUGAUCCGGUGGUUCUGUAUGGAAGGGCCAUCGCUCAACGGAUAAAAGGUACUCCGGGGAUAACAGGCUGAUACCGCCCAAGAGUUCAUAUCGACGGCGGUGUUUGGCACCUCGAUGUCGGCUCAUCACAUCCUGGGGCUGAAGCCGGUCCCAAGGGUAUGGCUGUUCGCCAUUUAAAGUGGUACGCGAGCUGGGUUUAGAACGUCGUGAGACAGUUCGGUCCCUAUCUGCCGUGGACGUUUGAGAUUUGAGAGGGGCUGCUCCUAGUACGAGAGGACCGGAGUGGACGAACCUCUGGUGUUCCGGUUGUCACGCCAGUGGCAUUGCCGGGUAGCUAUGUUCGGAAAAGAUAACCGCUGAAAGCAUCUAAGCGGGAAACUUGCCUCAAGAUGAGAUCUCACUGGGAACUUGAUUCCCCUGAAGGGCCGUCGAAGACUACGACGUUGAUAGGCUGGGUGUGUAAGCGUUGUGAGGCGUUGAGCUAACCAGUACUAAUUGCCCGUGAGGCUUGACC
rnacentral:rRNA from 1 species